rnacentral:rRNA from 1 species
GACGAACGCUGGCGGCGUGCUUAACACAUGCAAGUCGAACGGAGUGGCGAACGGGUGAGUAACACGUGAGUAAACUGCCCUUGACUUUGGGGUAACUUCCGGAAACUGGGGCUAAUACCGGAUAGUUGGGGAUGGACGCGCGGCUUAUUAGCUUGUUGGUGGGGUGGUGGCUUACCAAGGCGUUGACGGGGAGCCGGCCGGAGAGGGUGACCGGCCACCUGGGGACUGAGGUACGGCCCAGACUCCUACGGGAGGCAGCAGUGGGGAAUAUUGCACAAUGGGCGGAAGCCUGAUGCAGGAACCCCGCGUGCGGGGUGACGGCCGUCGGGUUUUAAAGUACUUUCCGCGGGGAGGCGUUACCCGGAGAAGAAGCACCGGCUAACUCCGUGCCAGCAGCCGCGGUAAUAC